rnacentral:lncRNA from 9 species
ACAUCUUAUUCUGGAAGCUGCUAUGCUGGAAAAAACAUGCUUGGGCUCCUUUCCUGCUUUCUCAUCAUCUGGAAGGUGGACGUGGGAUGACGCAGGCAGUACAGGGUCCAUUUGAUGGAACGUCUUGCAGCACCUGGGAACUUCAUUUAUAAAGUCCCUCAAGCAUAUCACCUCGGUGCACCUCAACAUUAAAUGUCAACCAAAUCUGAAAGGCUCUCGGGUGCCUGAGAAAACCGGACAGCACUUGGUUGUUUCGAUUCUGUGCGUACGAAUUGCUCUUCGCCCUCCACGGUGACUCGGGAGUUCUUGUUUCACAUCAGCUGACCUUACUCCUGGGGUGUCAAGAGUGUGAAUGUAGCUGAAGAUACAGCGAAAGAUACAGCUGUAUACCUGUAUACCUGAAUACAGCUGAAGCUACAGGAGGAGGAGAUGCAGCUGCCUCUCAGAGGUAAGUGCAGAGGAGAAAGCUCUACUUCAGUUUGACCCGAAUGGCGUCUCCUUUUAUGUAGAAGGCACUAAAGGAAAGUAGAACCUCUGAAAGAACCAGGAGACAGCUCCUUUGCAGUGCUUCCUUUUGGGGAAACAGGAAGCACUGGAGAGGCAUGAGGAAGCCUGCCAGCUAGAGAUUUCUCGAGUUGAAAGGGGAGUGUGGAGUGCUGCUGUGCUAAUAGUUCCUCAAUUAUGUGGAUUUCUGAAGUUGCUUUGGCUGUUAAAGAAGAUACUUCGUGAUUAGUUCAGCUAUUCUGAAAGGCUUUUUCCUGCCAUACAGAGCUGUCAUCCU